AUUGAACGCUGGCGGCAGGCCUAACACAUGCAAGUCGAGCGGAGCGGCGGACGGGUGAGUAAUGCCUAGGAAUCUGCCUGGUAGUGGGGGAUCACGUCCGGAAACGGGCGCUAAUACCGCAUACUAUCAGAUGAGCCUAGGUCGGUUUAGCUAGUUGGUGGGGUAAAGGCCUACCAGGGCGACGAUCCGUAACUGGUCUGAGAGGAUGAUCAGUCAGACUGGCAAUGGGACACGGUCCAGACGCCUAAGGGAGCCAGCAGUGGGAGUAAUUGGACAAUGGGCGAAAGCCUGAGCCAGCCAGGCCGCGUGUGUGAAGAAGGUCUUCGGAGUGUAAAGCACUUUAAGUUGGGAGGCGUUACCAACAGAAUAAGCGCCGGCUAACUUCGUGCCAGCAGCCGCGGUAAUAC
rnacentral:rRNA from 1 species